rnacentral:rRNA from 1 species
GACGAACGCUGGCGGCGUGCUUAACACAUGCAAGUCGAACGGAAAGGCCCUGCUUUUGUGGGGUGCUCGAGUGGCGAACGGGUGAGUAACACGUGAGUAACCUGCCCUUGACUUUGGGAUAACUUCAGGAAACUGGGGCUAAUACCGGAUAGGAGCUCCUGCUGCAUGGUGGGGGUUGGAAAGUUUCGGCGGUUGGGGAUGGACUCGCGGCUUAUCAGCUUGUUGGUGGGGUAGUGGCUUACCAAGGCUUUGACGGGUAGCCGGCCUGAGAGGGGGACCGGCCACAUGGGGACUGGGGAACGGCCCAGACUCCUACGGGGGGGAGCAGGGGGGAAUAUUGCACAAUGGGCGGAAGCCUGAUGCAGCAACGCCGCGUGCGGGAAGGCGGCCUUCGGGUUGAAAACCUCUUUCGCCUGUGACGAAGCGGGAGUGACGGUAAUGGGUAAAGAAGCACCGGCUAACUACGU